rnacentral:rRNA from 1 species
GUGAGGAAUAUUGCGCAAUGGAGGCAACUCUGACGCAGCCAUGCCGCGUGCAGGAAGACGGCCCUACGGGUUGUAAACUGCUUUUAUCCGGGAAGAAUCCCCAGUUCGUGAACUGGGUUGACGGUACCGGAGGAAUAAGCACCGGCUAACUCCGUGCCAGCAGCCGCGGUAAUACGGAGGGUGCAAGCGUUAUCCGGAUUCAUUGGGUUUAAAGGGUGCGUAGGCGGAACGGUAAGUCAGUGGUGAAAUCCUGCAGCUUAACUGUAGAACUGCCAUUGAUACUGUCGUUCUUGAGUGCGCUUGACGUGGGCGGAAUGUGCCGUGUAGCGGUGAAAUGCUUAGAUAUGGCACAGAACACCAAUUGCGAAGGCAGCUCACGAAGGCGAAACUGACGCUGAGGCACGAAAGCGUGGGGAUCGAACAGGAUUAGAUACCCUAGUAGUCC